AGAAAAGUAAGCUAAGUUAAGCUAGUGGGUUCAUACCCCAUAAAUAGAGGUCACUCUCUUCUCUA
rnacentral:tRNA from 1 species